UACAGAGGGUGCAAGCGUUAAUCGGAAUUACUGGGCGUAAAGCGUGCGUAGACGGUUAUCUAAAUCGGGUGUGAAAGCCCCGGGCUCAACCUGGGAAUUGCAUUCGAUACUGGAUAGCUAGAGUUCGGCAGAGGGAAGUGGAAUUCCCGGUGUAGCGGUGAAAUGCGCAGAUAUCGGGAAGAACACCCGUGGCGAAGGCGGCUCUCUGGGACGGUACUGACGCUGAGACGCGAAAGCGUGGGGAGCGAACAGG
rnacentral:rRNA from 1 species